CGCAAGGAUGAUAUGCAAAUUUGCGAAGUGUUCCAAAUUUUU
rnacentral:snRNA from 1 species